GUGACUGUACAGCCAAGAAGAGCAGGGGUGACACUGGAACAAUACUAGGCUGAAGAGGCUGUUCUCUGGAGAGGAGUGGAUUGAAGAAGGCAUGGAGGAGGAGAGUCCCAGACAAGGGAAGAGAUACCUAGGAAAGAAGAGCACCAAGAAACAAAGAGUUCUUCCAGAAGAAGCUACUGACUUGUUUCUCCAAUAAGCUCCACCCUUACCCUCCUCAUUGUGGCCAGGGUGAAGAGCUGAGGAAAUUGUCAAACACAAAACAGGAGCUGCUGUCAGGGUGGAACCAGAAUCUGCCUUUACUAGUUCAGAAGUUGGGGAAAUGCAUCUGUUUUCCUGAAUUGCUCUGCCCUGGUGUAUCACAAUUACAGAAUGGGGUCUACCACAUCUCCCACCACUGUGAUAAUCUCUCUGCUUUGCCACAGGCCCGGUGGGGCUGGCUGACCACUUGAUGGACUGAAAUAGCCAAGACUGGGAACCAAAACAGCCUGAUGUCUUCAUAAGCUGAGAGCCUCAGGCAUAAGUUACAGUGAUGAAAAGCCCAGUAACAAAAAUGUGUAGCUGAGCAUCUGAAGUCUAUAUGGGGUCAUCAAUUUUUCCUAUAAAAGAUGUACUCAUGGUUCAAUGCUGCCCGUGGUGAAAGGUUAUCAGAGCCCUGAUCUCCAAACAAAUGAGUGCCUAGGUUUCCUUUGCAGCAUUAAGACUAAAUAAUAAGAGACAAUGUAGGUGCAGUACAAUAUAUCUUCAAAUCUUAAAAAUGAUUAUUCAACUAUCUCUGCUUAAAGACUUCUUUAAAAAAAAGAAAGCCAAGUGUUUCAAUGCUCUGUAAAUGAGCAAAAAUAAGGCUGGAGCAGGCCGUUCACAAGUAUAAAGCUUAUGCAACGAGAGCCGUGCAAAAAACAAGCUUGGUUCCUGGAACAAUAACCCCAAGAGCCCUGUUUAGCUGUUGAGCUGGCCAAGUGCUCUGGACAGCAGAGCUGGUGGGAGGACUUGGGCAGUGAUGAAGGUAGGGGACGGUGGUGCCGGUAAGAGCUCUGGCCACUAUGUGAAAGCCACCAAGGCUAGCCUCUGCUUCCCUAAGAUGCUUACCCUGCAGACAGAAGAGUUUUCUUUUGUAAAACAUGCUGUUCACAGUGGCAAAGACGGUCUUCAGAUUGUCUUCCCUAGUUACUGACAGUCAAAUUCUGAUCCUGUGACCUAGAAAAAAAGUCAAAUUUAUGAUAUUACUAAUCAUAUUCUCAUCAAUCAUCUAUGUAUGACUUGAUUUACAUUUUAGUUUAUCUGAAGGGAUCAAAGUGGGUUGAAAUCCUUUGCUUUUGACUGCAUGGGGUGAGUUAAGAUUUGAAUUAAACUUAGUUCUUUAGGGAACUAAGAAGUGAACAAGGAGACCAGGCUGAUGGAAACAAAGCAAUAGGAUGAGUUAUCAGGGUAGAGCCUAAAGUGUCCAUAUGUGGGAAGCACUGGUUUUUAGUAUAU
rnacentral:lncRNA from 1 species